AAGACCUUGCGCUUUUGGAGCGGCCGAUGUCUGAUUAGCUAGUUGGUGGGGUAAUGGCCUACCAAAGCUUCGAUCAGUAGCUGGUCUGAGAGGACGGCCAGCCACACUGGGACUGAGACACGGCCCAGACUCCUACGGGAGGCAGCAGUGGGGAAUUUUGGACAAUGGGCGCAAGCCUGAUCCAGCCAUGCCGCGUGAGUGAAGAAGGCCUUCGGGUUGUAAAGCUCUUUCAGCCGGGAAGAAAAGGUUGCGACUAAUAAUCGCAAUUCAUGACGGUACCGAAAGAAGAAGCACCGGCUAACUACGUGCCAGCAGCCGCGGUAAUACGUAGGGUGCGAGCGUUAAUCGGAAUUACUGGGCGUAAAGGGUGCGCAGGCGGUUUUGUAAGUCAGAUGUGAAAUCCCCGGGCUUAACCUGGGAACU
rnacentral:rRNA from 1 species